GCCUGGGUGGCUCAGUGGUUGAGCGUCUGCCUUUGGUUCAGGAUGUGAUCCCAGGGUUCUGGGAUCAAGUCCCACAUCGGGCU
rfam:Canis lupus familiaris chromosome 9, whole genome shotgun sequence.